rnacentral:lncRNA from 1 species
CUCAGAUAGAAUAUGGGUAAUAGGCUUCAUCCAUUCUCUUUCUUGAGAGGGGAGACUCUCUUGUAAAAGUCAGGAGCUAGGACUUCUAGGUAAAUGUAGCCCAUCCUCUAGGUUCUUUAGGCACCUAAUGAUUUUUUGAUGACCCAGGACAAUUUCCUGUUUUUGUUUUUUUUUGUUGUUGUUUUAUUAUUAUUUUUGCAGUGAAGGUGCCCUGUAACUGUCUGGUCCCCUUUGUCUUUUGGCAUAUAGAUGCAACAAUUUGCCUGGCUUCCAUCAAUAGAAACAUAGAACAAAUGUACAUGG